UGGUGUGUAGCAAUUUGAUUGAGACAUAAGCCAAAUAAACAAACAUAAAUCAAACAUUGAUUAGCCCUAAAAAGUUAAACACACAGAUUGUUCUCAUCCCUAAGGUACCGAACCUGGAGACUGUGACGCGAUUUAGGCCUAUUAGCCUGUGUAACUUCUCUUAUAAGGUACUCUAAAAAAUCCUUGCUAAUCGUCUUAAACCUCUCUUACCAAAUUUAAUCUCUCCUAUGCAGAAUGCUUUUGUAGCAGGCAUGCAAAUUCAAGAUAAUAUAUUGAUUGUCCAUGAGAUCUUCCACUCCAUGAAACUCAGCAGAACAAAAAGAAAAUUUGAGUUGGAUAUUAAGCUAUAUAUGAAUAAGGCUUACAAUCGGGUGGAGUGGGACUUCCUGGAGGAGGUUAUGAUUACCAUGGGGUUUGGUAGGAGAUGGGUAAAUUUAAUCACGAAGUGUGUGGUGACUGUUGAUUUCUCUAUUUUAAUUAAUGGCAAACCUGGCAGGAAAUUUCUAUCGUCUUGGGGUCUUCGUCAAGGUGAUCCCUUCUCACCCUAUCUAUUUUUGUUCGUAAGUGAUGUUCUUUCUUCGCUUAUUCAAAUAGCGAUCGAUUUGAAUUAUCUUAGCGGAAUAAAAAUUAGUUCAAUUAGUCCAUGCAUUUUGCAUAUGUUCUUUACGGAUGAUACCUUGAUUUUUCUCCAGGAAAAAACAACAAAAUUGCAGGAAUAUUGUGCAGAUCCUAAAAGCUUAUUGUGCUGCCUUGGGUCAGCAGGUUAGUCUUAACAAAUCAAGUGCUUAUUUUAGUGCAAAUACCCCAAGGACAGUUAUGGAGGAGAUGGGUGGGAUACUUAGGAUGCCCAUUGUUGAUAACCUUGGUACUUAUCUGGGUCUGCCAACAAUUUGGGGUAGGUCUAAAUGUCAAGCUUUGGGAUAUAUUAAAGAUCGAUUAUUGAGAAAGAUUUAGGGAUGGAAACAUAAAUUGUGGUCGUAUACGGGUAAAUAAGUACUGAUUAAAGCUGUUGCUCAAGCUGUUCCAGUUUAUUCAAUGAAUAUUUUCAAAUUUCUUGAACAUUUUUGUAAGGAACUGGAUUCUCUAAUUGCGGGUUUUUGGUGGGGACAAAAUAAUGAGGAUAAGCGGAUUCAUGAAAGUCAGAAAUUUACAAGAGUUUAAUGUUGCUUUGUUGGCAAAACAAUGUUGGAGAACGUUGAUGGAGCAUGAUUCUUGGGUCAGAUUAAUGAAAGUGAGAUACUUUCCCCAUUCUUCAUUUCUCGAGGCUAGAAAACGAAGUUGGGCCUCGGGGGCUUGGGCAAGUUUAUUGGAAGGGAGAGAGAUUCUUUUGAGAGGAGGCCAGUGGCAGGUGAUGAAUGGUAGAAAUAUAAGGCUGUGGAUGGAUCGUUGGAUUCCUUCUUUGCCGAAGAGACAUCCUUAUCCUUCAGAGUCUUCGAAUAUAAACUGGAGCCAGAAUUUUGCUUCCAUAAUUAGGCCAUAUUCUCAUGAAUGGGACCUCCAACCCAUUAGUUCUUGUCUGUCUCAACGUGAGAUGGAACAGAUAAAAAAGGUACAAAUUGGAGACCCUUCCUGUGAUGAUCGAUUCAUUUGGCCUUUAGAAAAAAGAUGUAAGUAUACGGUUAAGUCUGGUUAUCAUUGGAUUCAUAGCAUGGAGGCUCCUAUAUGUAAUGAGGAAGAGGAAUAGGUGGAGCAUUUGUUCUCGUUGUGUCCAUGGGUUCAGCCUAUCUGGUUUGGAGGUCAACUUAAUUACAAGGUAAUUCAUAAAAUUAAUUAUGGCCAUGCUGCUUUCAUGGAGGCUAACAAAAGGUCGAACAGGGUUGCUGUGGGAUCGAGAACUUCUCCAGGUAAUCAAGCAAAUUUGAUUCGAGAUUCUCAAUCAAUCUCGGUUUGGUCUCCACCAGAGAUUUCAUGGUACAAAGUAAAUGUUGAUGCAAGUUGGAUGUCGAUAACGAAAAAAGGAUAUGUGGCCACGGUGAUCAACAACUCUAAUGGCAAAUUUAUUGCUACUAAAAAGCAAAGUAUUUUGGCGGAGGGAGUGCAAGAAGCUGAGGCAAAAGCUAUUUUGGAAGGGUGCAAGCUUGCUAAUCAUUUGGAGUUAGGGAAGGUUAUAAUUGAAUCAGAUUCAAAGGAAGUUGUCUCUAGCUUAUGUAAUUCCAUUUACCAGGGAAGGUGGGAGGUAGUUCCGGUGCUUUGGAAAGCUAUGCAGCUGAAGGGGUCAUUCCAACAGUGUAGAUGGUCUUGGGUUCCUCGAUCCGCCAAUAUGGUGGCUCAUAGAUUAGCUUCUGCGCAGUACUCGGAGAUGAGCAAUUAUACUUAGGUCGAAAGACCCCCAUCUUCGAUUGUACAUAUUUUGAACAAAGAUGGUCUACCUUGCCCACAUUAAUUAGAGUCGGUGUUGGAGUGAUUUAGGGUGACAUGUAGUUGUUGACUGUGUUGGUCUUUAACCCUGUAUCACUCUGUUGUAUGUUGUUUCUCUGGUUUGUAGCAUUGUUUAUCCUCUGUGUGGGCUUUUUUGGUGUAUUUUGGCUUUGCCCUAGAGUAAUUCCAGUUUAAC